CCUACGGGAGGCAGCAGUGAGGAAUAUUGGUCAAUGGGCGCGAGCCUGAACCAGCCAAGUAGCGUGAAGGAUGACUGCCCUACGGGUUGUAAACUUCUUUUAUAAAGGAAUAAAGUGAGGCACGUGUGCCUUUUUGUAUGUACUUUAUGAAUAAGGAUCGGCUAACUCCGUGCCAGCAGCCGCGGUAAUACGGAGGAUCCGAGCGUUAUCCGGAUUUAUUGGGUUUAAAGGGAGCGUAGAUGGGUUGUUAAGUCAGUUGUGAAAGUUUGCGGCUCAACCGUAAAAUUGCAAUUGAUACUGGCAGCCUUGAGUACAGUAGAGGUAAGCGGAAUUCGUGGUGUAGCGGUGAAAUGCUUAGAUAUCACGAAGAACCCCGAUUGCGAAGGCAGCUUACUAAACUGUGACUGACAUUGAUGCUCGAAAGUGUGGGUAUCAAACAGGAUUAGAUACCCUAGUAGUC
rnacentral:rRNA from 1 species